AAGUGUCUAUCAAUGAUGGACUGUCUAAAUGUCCAUCAUUUGAGACAGGGGUGUCCAAACUUUUUUUUUUUUUUGUUUAACAUCGAGAACAGCACAAAGAAAAAAAUUAAAGCUGCAGGGACCGCUUUGCUUAAAUCUCCUGCGUAUUGGGUAAUUGCACUUUCAACCACUAGAUGGUGGCAUGACUAUUAAUUUGUGACAAUGUCAAUUUGAAAGAACGGAGCCGGAAGUCGUGUAUUUCAGUUUUAAUGUAAUCCUGCUUUUUAAGCCUACGGGAAGCAACAGCUGUAGCUUCAUUUUGGAAUGCACUUUUUUUGGCAAGAUUAUUGUUCUAGGUGGUGAUCUCAUAAGUUUGGUAGUUUGCUGUCA